UUAACUAUGCAUUUGAUGACAUCAAAAUGGUGGGGUUAGCCUUCCGAUUUUAAUUAAACUUGAAAUAACAACUAAGUUCUAGUUUUUGAUAGAUAGAUAGAUAGAUAGAUAGAUAGAUAGAUAGAUAGAUAGAUAGAUAGAUAGAUAGAUAGAUAGACAGACAGACAGACAGACAGAUAGAUAGAAAGUUUAUUCGAACUUCCAUGGCAGCAUACACUGAAUUGCAGAAGUUUUACAAUUUUAAAAACAACUUUGCAUGGCUCAUAUGCCCAUAAGAAUUAGAAGACAAUGGCAUUGGCGGCCAUGUUGGUGCCAAAUUCAAAAGAAGUUAAUGAGAUUCUUUUGUUGAAAGGAGACCAACAUGGCCGUCGCCCACAUCAUUGCAAGUCAAGAAUUCAAAAUCCCUGGUAGUCGUGACUCCACCAUGCAAUAUGCAAAUCCUGAAUAAUCCAAGAUGGCGGCCGAAACAAGAUAUAAAAAACCCGUAAAAUUUCUUUA